rnacentral:rRNA from 1 species
UACAGAGGUCUCAAGCGUUGUUCGGAUUCAUUGGGCGUAAAGGGUGCGUAGGCGGCGCGGUAAGUCGGGUGUGAAAUUUCGAGGCUUAACUCGAAACUGCAUUCGAUACUGCGGUGCUUGAGGACUGGAGAGGAGACUGGAAUUCAUGGUGUAGCAGUGAAAUGCGUAGAGAUCAUGAGGAAGACCAGUGGCGAAGGCGGGUCUCUGGACAGUUCCUGACACUGAGGCACGAAGGCCAGGGGAGCAAACGGG